rnacentral:rRNA from 1 species
UACGGAAGGCAGCAGUGGGGAAUAUUGCACAAUGGGCGAAAGCCUGAUGCAGCUAUGCCGCGUGUAUGAAGAAGGCCUUAGGGUUGUAAAGUACUUUCAUCGGGGAGGAAAAACAAAACUAAUAAUUUUAUUUCUUGACGUUACCCGAAAAAGAAGCACCGGCUAACUCCGUGCCAGCAGCCGCGGUAAUACGGAGGGUGCUAGCGUUAAUCAGAAUUACUGGGCGUAAAGAGCACGUAGGUGGUUUUUUUAAAGUCAGAUGUGAAAUCCCUGGGCUUAACCUAGGAACUGCAUUUUGAAACUGAAAUACUAGAGUAUCGUAGAGGGAGGUAGAAUUCUAGGUGUAGCGGUGAAAUGCGUAGAUAUCUGGAGGAAUACCUGUGGCGAAAGCGGCCUCCUAAACGAAUACUGACACUGAGGUGCGAAAGCGUGGGGAGCAAACGAGGGAUUAGAUACC